rnacentral:rRNA from 1 species
ACGGGUGAGUAACACGUGGGCAACCUGCCCUUGAGACUGGGAUAACUUCGGGAAACCGGAGCUAAUACCGGAUAAUACAAGGAACCUCCUGGUUCCUUGUUGAAAGAUGGUUUCGGCUAUCACUUAAGGAUGGGCCCGCGGCGCAUUAGCUAGUUGGUGAGGUAACGGCUCACCAAGGCGACGAUGCGUAGCCGACCUGAGAGGGUGAUCGGCCACACUGGGACUGAGACACGGCCCAGACUCCUACGGGAGGCAGCAGUAGGGAAUCUUCCACAAUGGACGAAAGUCUGAUGGAGCAACGCCGCGUGAGUGAUGAAGGCCUUCGGGUCGUAAAGCUCUGUUGUUAGGGAAGAACAAGUGCGAGAGUAACUGCUCGCACCUUGACGGUACCUAUCCAGAAAGCCACGGCUAACUACGUGCCAGCAGCCGCGGUAAUACGUAGGUGGCAAGCGUUAUCCGGAAUUAUUGGGCGUAAAGCGCGCGCAGGUGGUUUCUUAAGUCUGAUGUGAAAGCCCACGGCUCAACCGUGGAGGGUCAUUGGAAACUGGGGAACUUGAGUGCAG